GCAGUGAUGACAUUCCACUGUUUGCAUGCGUUGGAUUGUUGAUGUGGGUGAUGCGAAUCUGAGUCUGAGC